UGCCAGCUGUUUAAAAGUACCCCUGUGGCAGUGGCAGUGAGGGGUGCCAGAGGCCCAGUGAAGUUAGUUGAGAAGCAGUGAUACCUCCAACCAUCCCCCAAACGGGCUGGCCCACAUCUCCAGGCCACAAGGAGCCACACCUGGAUGGACCCCAAGAGAGGCAAGGGCACUGGCUGGUGGGAGCCACCCCUUUUCAACCCUCACGCUGACACAGCAAACACCCCAGAGAAGGGCCUCCUGAGGACCUGAGGAGGGCAGGCGGCGGGUUCCCUGGACACAGAACUCCUCCCCAGAGCUUCCCAACAGAAGACACAGGCUGCCCCCCGGGGCCAAGCGACAUUUCCUGAAGACAGUGGGGAACAGGGAAGGAAAAACAGUCCAUCCUCCGGGAGUAGGAGGAUGUGGACAGCCAGCACCAGGUAAGAUUCUGCCAGGUAAGAUUGUGAGGCCACCUGUUCGACUGAUUUUUUUGAUGGAAUGAGAAACAGGGAGACAGUAAGAAGUGCUUGUGAGAAGGGAUCACACUACUUGAGUCUCCCUAGUGGGACCCAUCUCCUGACUGGGGACCCAGAGCAAGGAGGGGCCUCUUGUGGGGUAAGUGGAACAGGAGAGCUAUAGACCCCCUUCUCAGUGAGACCUCAUUUGAAAGAGAAAUGGGGUCAAGGUCAGCUCUGUCUGCCUCCCAGCAAGGAUGCAAAACUCAAGGGAGGAGUUCCUGGAGCCAGACAGCCAGCAGAAUGACACCUUUCCUGCACCUCUGCCCUCCUCCCAGUCCAGCUGCACCACCUUCUUCUCCAGGAAGCCCUCCUAGCUCCCCCAGGGAGGAGGAACCUAAGCCCUCAGCAGUCCUCUCUGGGCUCUCUCUUAGGCCACUUGGGUCUGUCUCCUAUUCAACUCGCCAAGGGCAUUUAUCCUUCCAUCUCAGCCUGACUGCGCUCCUCCAGGGUAAGGACCAUAUCAGAUGCAGGCCUGUCCCCUCGGCACAUAGAAGACACAAUUGGUUUGCUAAAUGGAUGUAUGAAAUGGUUAGACCCUGUCCUCAACCCUGACAGACUGGUAUAGUAGUCAGGGGAGGAGAUGUUCAGCACGGAGGUUAAAAGUCAUGAUCCUGAGGCGGCCGUUCUGAUAGGAACCCAAGCUGGGCUCCUAGCUCUGUGCCCUUAGAAAAUCCCCUUCUCAUGGAACUUUGGGAUGCACAGGGAUUAGCACAAUGAAAACAUUCAAAACAUGACUGUUCUUUUUACCAUCAGCGUCACUAUAGUCUUUCUGGAGACAAAGGAACAGAACCAGGCAGCCUAUAGCCACAGAGGAUACGGAAGCAAAUACCUUCCCCUGGUCAAAGGCCUCAACCUCUGGCCCUGCGUCAGAGUUUCCCACAGGAGCGUGGGACUGCCUCCCAUCCAUUUCCUGUCUCUACACCCAGGAGAGCUGCUAUCUUUGCAGCAAACACUCUGAGCCCAAUGGGGUGUGCUGGAAAUAGCCGCCAAUUCCCCUAGUACAAGCAGGGCUGUGACCCUGGAACCGUCUCCUCCCCUUCCUGGCUCGCCAUGUGCAGUGAUAAGGCUCCCCUGACCACCGCACAGCUGUUCUGCAGAUUAAGCGUGGUGGGGUGGUUUUUCAAAUGGCAGGCACUCAGAUGCCACCCCCCCCUUUUUUUUUCAGAUGCCCCCUUUUUAAGUUUUGCCAUAUCUGCAAACAAUCAUAAGAUUUAAAAUUUUAAGGUGUCUUUUUUAACACCUAAAUAUAAAUAGGUAACUAAACACUGUCCAUAAUUAGGAGAUAAUAAAGAUAAGAGAGACAGUAAAUAUGCAGCAGCGCUCUGGACUUGAGGGAGAUAAACAGGAGCCUGAAAAGUGUCAGAGACAGGAUAGCACCAAACUGAGGUUCUUUCCCCCACCCCGGGAAAACAGAAGGACUGGAAGCAAACUGACAGGGAACAGCCUGGGUCACUGUGUUUUCCAAAGUCAGUGCUCAGGCCACAUAUGCAGCAAAAUUGCAAGAAGCCAAAAGUGGUCAGGUGAAAGAGCUUUGGAAAGAGUCCCGCACCGAGGAAUGCAGGGGCCUGGCCUAUCAGCUGGCCUCCCAGCAGCAAAGGCUCACUUCUGGGGCACGACCCUCCCUGGCUUCUUACUGAAACCUCCACGUUGGCUAGGCCAGGCGUCUUCUCUUGCAGAGCGAGUGGGAGCAGUCCGCGAGUGGAGUAGACAGGCUGUGGGCUGUCCGGGACCCCCCAGGCUGGAUCCUGUUGUUGGAAUCACUGCCCAGCCAAAUGCAGUUUGGAAGAAGUUCCUACUCAUUAUUGAGGAAGGCAGUUCCUUGGGUGGGAAUACCUCAUAGAGGGGCUGACCUGCCCCAAGUGGCAGACCAAAGGAAAACACGCUGCUGUUUGGGGCCUGAUGUCAGAUUUCUGUCCGAGGCAUAAGAAAGUGGAAGUGAAAGUGAAGUCGCUCAGACGUGUCUGACUCUUUGAGACCCCAUGGACUGUAGCCUACCAGGCUCCUCAAUCCAUGGAAUUUUCCAGGCAAGAGCACUGGAGUGGGUUGCCAUUUCCUUCUCCAGGAUCUUCCCAACCCAGGGAUCAAACCCAGGUCUCCCACAUUGAGGGCAGACACUUUACCCUCUGAGCCACCAGGGAGGCUAAUUUUUGAAGGAUGUGAGUGUUUUCCUGCUCUCUCCCAGCCCUGAGAAAAGGCUGCCAGCCCCCUCCGCCCUCCAGACAUCCCUGAAAGUACAUGUCAUCCAGCAUCAAGACCAUCACAAUGGUAUAAGCAGUGCAAUAGGGCUGCCCUGAGAUCUUGGCGGGACAGGAGAAGGGGGUACAGGGCUCUAUCUGCUCACUCAGAGGUUCCCACCUAUGCCAGGUCUUAAGAGGGAAACAAAUGAUCUACAUGGCCAUUCAGUCAUCUACCAGCAGCACUCCCUGGGGUCCAUCACCACAUACAAAAGCCUCCACAAGGCCCGGGGAUCCCCACCACGAACAAACAUGGGUGCCGUCCUCAGGGAACUGGAGAUCUACCCCAGUCAGACCCAGAGGCAAAGAGCUCUGACACUGGAGAGAAUGCAGCUGAAGAACAUGAUUCAGUCACUCGGACAGCACAUAUUAAGCAUCUACCAUCACAAAUGCAAUAAAGGAUGAGAAAGAGGGCAGAGAGGACUUCCUUGGUGGUUCAGUAGUGGAGAAGCUGCCCUGCAAAGCAGGGGACUCAGGUUCAAUCCCUGCUCAGGGAACUAAGAUCCCACAUCCCACCGAACAGCUGAGCUCUCAUGCCACAACUAGCGAGACCAUGUACCGCACGAAGACUCCAUGUGCUGAAACUAAGAUCUAAUGCCAGUCAAAUAAAUAAUUUUUUUUAAAAAGGAAAGAGGAAAAAAUAAAUAAAUAAGAAAGAGGGCAAAGGAUGUGUGAGGAUGUGGACCAGGGAGUUCUGAUGUCUGAAAAUCAGAGAGGGCUUCACAGAAAAAGUGGCCAUUUAAGUAGAGACUCAUCCCACCAAGAGGAGACAGGCAGGGGAGUGAGGGGGAGUAACAUGGUUCCUAGGAGCCCCAAAGUGGUGGGCACAGGACUCCCUGAAGGAGUGGGAAAAGGGGGCAAGGGCCCAAGAGUAAUAUCCCAGCUGGGCCAGAUAGGGCAGGACUAUAGCCUUUUGUGAAGGUUUUAGAAUUCAGCCAGAGGGAGACCUUUCACCAUUUUAAGCCCAGGAGAAAUAUGGGCACAUUUGCAUUUUGAGAAAUCAUUCUGAGAGGAUGGCUGGGAAGGAUGGGUGGGAAGUCGGUGGGAGUAGAAGCAAGGGAAGCCAGGUAGGAGGCUGAAGCAAAUGUUUGAGGAUAUAAAGUACCAUGAAUGUGCCAUUUGGCUGGGAUACACCAAGCAUAAAGGUGAGGUAUGGGGUCAAAAAGGUAGAACAUCAGCCAGGGUGAGGGGUGAUGGGGCGUUAGAGGGUUCUUCUGGAAUGAUGAAAUGUUCUAAAAUUGAUUGUGGUGAUGCUUCUGCCACUCUGUGUUGUUGCAUUCUUGCUCGGUCGGGUCCGACUCUUUGUGAGCCCAUGGACUGUAGCCCGCCAGGCUCUCUUCCGUCCAUGGAAUUUUCCAGGCAAGAACACUGGAGUGGGUUGCCAUUUCUUCCUCCAGUGGAUCUUCCAGACCCAGGGAUGAAACCCUCAUCUCCUGCAUCUCCUGCACUGCAGGCAGAUUCUGUCCCACUGAGCCAUCCGGGAAGCCCAACUCACCAUUCUGUGACUGAACUAAAAAACCAUUUCAUUGUGUAAUUUGAAUAGAAGGAUUAUAUCUCAACAAAACUGUUUAAAAAGAAAAGGAAGGGUGAAGCUUGGUCCCAGAGGGCUCACAUGCCAGGCGGAGGACAGGAAGCACACCGGUGUAGCUGCAGCAGCCUCCGGGGCAGGGGCUGGAGGGAGGAGCUGAGGCCCCUCUAAUGCCCCUUCUCCUGCCUAGGGUGGACUCCCUGCCAUCGACCCCUGGUGCAGAGCGGCAUGGCGUCCUGUCUCCCAGCCUGAGGUGCAGUGCUGCAUCUCUGGUCAGUUGGGAGUCUGAGAUGAAGCACUGUAGCUCGGGAAGGGAGAAGUUGUUCUGCAGCCGUCGCCAGAAGUGGUAAGUGGUAUGGUGCCUGCAGGCACCAGGAAGGAUGGGAGUGUUUCCAUUCUCCAGACUGUCCGCUGAGGAAGUAUUGGACUUGAGUCCUAUCUGUAGCACUAUCUGCUUCAUGAUUCUGGGCAAGUCCUGACUCCUCUGUGCACCGCAGUUUGUUCAUCUGUGAUAUGAGGUUUUGGAGCAUUCGGUGGUAGCCAUUACGCAGUACCCUGACUCUGCUUUCUCCUGAGCCCCUGGCAGACACAGCUGAAUCAGUCAAGGCAUCCUUUCUUAAAGCAUUCAGAUGUGGCUUCAGAAUCCUCCUUAAUGCUAAGUCCUAGAGAGCUACUAUUUAUUCAAAGCUGAAACACUCAAAAAAAAAAAAAAAAAGCUGAAACACUUCAUCAUUUGUGAACUGGUCAAUUCCUAAAAACUCUUUCAGACUGAAGACAAAGUCCUGGGCUCUGAGUCCAGCUCUUUACUCUUUGAGGUGUGGCCUAAACUAAUCCAGGCAUCUCCCAAAUAUCUGAUCCCUCUCAGGGGCUUCAGACUAGUCAGAAAUAGCAGAGGAAAACCACUGGGCUAAGCACAAUUUUAUUUAACCUCCCUACAAGCUUGGGAGGUGGAUUUUAUUGACUCAUUUUCCAGAUGAGAAAACUGAGGCUCAGGUAAGCAACUUGCCCAAGGUCACACAUAAAUUAUAUUGAGCUGGGCUUGGAACCUAAUCUGUCUGCCUUCAGAUUCAUGUUUUUACCCACUGUGUGUGACUUGGGAACCUGGGAUUGGGGGAGCAGGAGGAGAACAUAAUAAAUCCUAUUCUAGUCUUGUCCUUACAUCCUGGGUCACUUUUAGCAAAGACAGACUGAGACAUUUUCCAAUAAUCCUACAGACUUCCUUCCUCUUCUUCCCACCCCCCACCAUUGUAUUUAUCUCACCUUUCAAGUAGGUCCUAUACCAUCCCAUUUUAUAAUUGGGGAAGACUGAGCUUAAGUGAGUUGCUGGAGGUCACCUGCAAGGAAGGUGCCAAAUAGAGACUGGGAACCAGAACUGUCCAGGUAGUUUCAAGUAGAACCCUCCCUCUGGCUGGAGACUCAGGAAUACACACAAUCCACGGCAACUGAAGAGGGGGGUGGGGUGUUACCAGAUGAUUUCUGGUCGACAACAUGGCCUCUGACUACAGUAAGGUACUUUCCAGGGCCAUUGAAGUUCCAGUCACUACCCCCUCCCCUGAAGCAAUCAUCCACAUCCCGCCAGACAUGGUGGCCGCACUGGCUUCUGCAGAUGGGGCUGGAUGCAGAAGAAAACUCCAGCUGGUCCUUAGGGAUAUGGCAGGGCCUUGGUGCUGAAGGCCACUCUCUCACCUUGUCCUCACGGUCCAGUUUUCCCAGGAAUCCCUUAGAUGCUAAGAUGGGGAUUCCUGGAAAUACUGUUCUUGAGGUCAUGGUUUAACAGCUGGAUUCGCCUCCUUCCCACCCCAAGUUGCCCCCGCGGGACUUGGGCUCAAGCACAUCAUGAGGCCACGUGGAAGGCCAUGCGCUGGAGGUAAGAGGACUUGAGGACUGUGUUCUUGACCUUUAAACUGCUUUUCUUUCCAUUUUGUCCAUUUCGCAACAUCCUGUGAGGCUGGAAUGGGAACUUCACCUCUGUCCUACUCUUGGGAAAUUUGUCCAGACACUCAGCUGAGCAGUGGUUGAACCAGGACGCCAUAAAGCCUGUGUCUCUUUCCACCUCCCCCAACCUCCAUCCCAGUUCCCAGCAUCCCAAGCAGUGGUGGGGGUGGGGUCACAAUAUCAAAUCCAAGUUAGUGAUAAACAAAUAAAUAUAUGUGAAUUUAUUUUAAAAGUUCACUAGAUCGGUUAACGUAAACUAAAAAUCUGUAAGUUUUAGUUCGAUUUGGAGUACCACAGAAAAAUUUUAUAAUUUUUCAUUAAGGUAGAGAAGACAAAAAAGCUCAGACUGCCCUCUUGUGGUGAUGCCUGCCACAACCCUGGAGAACCCAGGAACACUGGGUUGUCCUACACAUACACACACACACACACACAGACUCCUUUUGAACCAGCUUCAGACCCAUCCAUCAUUUCAUUACCAAUGAUGUCUCCAUCACUUACAGUUUAAUGUAACUCACAUUACCUGGCUUUGUCCUCAAAACUCCUGAAGGUCAGUGAGAUGGUGAAGUGAUGAGUCCCUGGUCACCCAGAUAGCAUUAGGCAGAGCGAGGAUCUGUUCCGAGUUCAGUGACUCAGCCAAAAGUAAAAACUACAAAAAUAAAAAAUAAAAGGAAGACAUCUGAAUAAGUGUAGAAAAUGCUGGCUGAAUGCCAGAGACCUGAUGUGGUCCAGGUGUUAAUACUAGAACUUUUCAAAAAAUCUUCCCAGUGCUUUUUAUGGAGUUUGUAGUGACAAGAGGUGCCAUGACCCCAGGAUCCUUACUUUGGGGUCUAGUAGCCAUGUUCCCAGGGACCAGGUGGCUCCCACUUAUGUAUCAGGCUGUCUCUCUUAACAGGCCAUGCUGCAGAUAAUUUAUAAAGUAUCAAAUUCCCGUCUCUCUCCUCCUCAGACACUGGAGCUGGCCUGACCAUGAAGAAAUCUGAUUUGCUCCAAAUGAUAAUAAUAUCUUCCACUUACUGAGUAUUUGCAACUUACCAGGCACUGUGUUAAACACUUUCACAAGCAUUGUCCCAUUCAAUCCUCACAACAACUCCGUGAGAUAGGUUCUAUCACUUUUUCUACUUCACAGACGAGGCAGCCAAGGCACAGAGACAUUAAGAGACUUGUUUAAGAUCACACAGCUAACAAGUUGUAAGGCUGAGUCAAAUCAAGUCUGUGUUUAUACCCGUCACCUGCCCUUGCCCCCCUCUCUCCCCUUUGGCCUGGUCUGGCUGGUGGAGCUGUCUCCUGUGGCUUCCCCUGCGGCAGAUGGUAAAACAAGCCUUCAGGGAGACCCAAGCAGUCCCUCCUGUGUACUGUGACAAUAAUAAAGUGGGAGACCCUUGA